rnacentral:rRNA from 1 species
CGGGCGGGUGAGUAAUGUCUGGGAAACUGCCUGAUGGAGGGGGGUAACUACUGGAAACGGUAGCUAAUACCGCAUAACGUCGCAAGACCAAAAGAGGGGGGACCUUCGGGGCCUCUUGCCAUCGGAUGUGCCCAGAUGGGAUUAGCUAGUAGGUGGGGUAACGGCUCACCUAGGCGACGAUCCCUAGCUGGUCUGAGAGGAUGACCAGCCACACUGGAACUGAGACACGGUCCAG